AGAGAGAGAGGCAAGAAGGCGAAGGUAGGAGGGGGGGAUUGGGACCCAGUGAGUGAAGUUUGGUUUUUCGCUGCAAAUCUUUCAUAGUUUUUUUCGUUGAGGUCAGAGCUUGUUCAUACAAUCUCCUUCUAAACCCACAAACCAUCCUUCCAUUUCCAUGAUUUUCAGCUUCCUUUCUGCUUCUUCUUCUUGUUCUUCAUCAUUCAUCCGUGUUCUUGUUCUUCAAUCUCGUUUUCGAACCCCCAACUUCCGCUUUUUCUCAUACACUUUACUGAUCUCCAUCAUUAUACUUCCAAUUUCCUACUUCCAACUUCCUCACAUCCUCAAUUGCGCCUAACGGACGAGGGUUUCCUCUAUUGCUGCUCUGCUGCAAUUCGCGCCUCUUGCGUUCGCCUUCGAGGCUGCUGUAAACCCGCUCUUUUUUGCUUGGUGCACGUACUAUAUAUAUGUUUGUGUAUAUUUUGUUUUUUACCAAAUGGUGCGGCCUUUCAGACUUGAUUUGUCCUGAAUGACGAGGAAGUAUAAAUUCUGGGGGAUUUUGUAUUGGUACAGUACCGCAAUUCAGCUUCAAUUCGAGUGACAAUUCUGGGGUUGGAGCUGCAGUUUACGGUGUAUGAACCCAACCGGCCUCUGGAGAAAUGCAAUCUCAGCAAAGCUCCAGAAUUGAUUUAGGCGACUUGAAAGCUCAGAUAGUUAAAAAACUUGGAAAUGACAAGUCCAAGCGGUACUUCUUCUACUUGAGUAAAUUCUUGGGUCAGAAGCUGAGCAAGGUUGAGUUUGAUAAGCUGUGCGUUCGUGUGCUUGGAAGGGAGAAUAUUCAGCUCCACAAUCAAUUGAUAAGGUCAAUUUUGAAGAAUGCAUGUGUAGCCAAGACCCCACCACUUAUAAAUGUAUCAGGACAUGCACAAUCUGUGCUACAAGCUUCGAACAAUACUCCUUGCAGAGAAGAUGCCCCUGAACAAACUGGAUCUGCCUUUCCAAAUCAGAAUCAGAGUAUACCAAUUUGGACAAAUGGGGUUCUGCCUGUGUCCCCACGGAAGGGUAGAUCUGUCUUACGCGGGAAGUUUAGGGAUAGGCCGAGUCCGCUUGGUCCAAAUGGAAAAACAGCAUGUCUUUCGUAUCAAUCAACUGGUACUGAAGAUAGGAAAGUUAUUACAGAGAAUGGUAAUGUAACCAUGUGUGACUAUCAGAGGCCUGUACAGCAACUUCAAGCAGUAGCUGAGCUACCUGAGAAUGACAUAGAUGGAUCAGUUCAGCGGCCGUCAGGAAAACCAAGAAUACGUCCAACAGAAGCAUCCAUUCUUGAAGAAGGAGAGGAGGUGGAACAAUCAGAUCCCUUAAGCUUCCUUAGAGGUCCUCUACUUCCACCUCUUGGUAUUCCAUUUUGUUCAGCGAGUGUGGGUGGGGCACGCAAGGCCUUGCCAGUCAGCAGUAGUGGCAGUUGUGUCGAUUUUCUGAGUUGUUAUGACAGUAUUGGAUUGUCUGAUUCAGAGACAGUGAGAAAACGCAUGGAACAAAUUGCAACUGCACAAGGGCUUGAAGGUGUUUCUUUGGAAUGUCCUAACAUCCUGAAUAAUACUCUUGAUGUGUACCUGAAGCAAUUGAUAAAGUCUUGCCUUGAGUUGGUGAGAACAAGGUCUACAUUUGAACAUACAGGGCACCCGAUCCAGAAGCAACAAAAUCAAGGGAAGGUUAUAAAUGGUAUGUGGCCUACUAACCACCUACGUGUACAGAAUAGCAACGGGCGAUCUGAAGUUUUGGAGGAAAAGAGUUUUGAAUGCUCAGUGUCAUUGCUGGAUUUCAAAGUUGCUAUGGAGCUCAAUCCAAAGCAGCUUGGGGAAGAUUGGCCUUUGCUGUUGGAGAAAAUUAGUAUGCGUGCCUUUGAGGAAUAAGCGGUUGCAAAGGUUUUAUUUAUUCUUCUGCCAUCCAAGGCUGAUCUCUGUUCCUUCGGGCUUUUAAACGCACCUGGGAUGUCUUCCCGUUCUUCCCUUCUUCCUGGGGUGUACUUGAUCGCUCCCAUUUGGUUCAGGCUCCAAGCUUUCAUGCUAAAAUAUUGUGACAUCAUUGCCUGCUGCAUCGAGGAAGUUGAAUUAACUCGACUAAGAAAGGGGGAGCUUUCAGCCAGAAUGCCCGUAAAAGGAAUACUGUCGUUUAGCUUGGUGAAAGAUGAAUCACCUGGGUGAGAGCUUCAGGUGCUCUUGCCAGCUGCCCCCUCCAGAUAAAUGUGAACGUAUGCGUGUGAGAAGUUCAUCUCAGGAGCAGCACAGCCUGAUUUCAAGAUGUUUGCAACGAGAUCGAUAUCCAGCUUGCUACUGAACAAAUCAAUGUUCUACAGAUACUAUGCCCAAUUGGAUGCAGAUAAUUCUUACUAAAAGCUAACGUAAUGAUUGAAGUUUGGAGUAGACAAGGCUCAAGGUCAUAAUACCACGGAAAGGUAUCUUCUCCUUCUAGAAAUAACUAUUUUUCUUUCCUGCUCAAAUAAUUUAAACUUCUGUGGGCUCUAGUGCGUUGAUUGCAAAGCAUAUUUGCAUCUAAAGUACUAUUAAGCAUUGUACUAAUCUGUUCUUGUGAUGUCUGCUGUUUUAUCAUCAUACUAUUGAUUUAGUUUUCUUCUAAGAGGUUUGCCAUUUUUUUUCUUAUGAUAUAUAGCUUGCUUGUCA